GUGGGAAGGGCUGGGAAUCGUCCGUCGGCUCCUCCCUCGUCGGGGCCGAGAGGCGGGGACUGAGCGCGGCCCGGCCGGGACGGGACGGAGCGGCGGGGCCCAACGCGGUGCAGCGAUGUCGGCGUUCUCGGAGGCGGCGCUGGAGCGGAAGCUGUCGGAGCUGAGCAACUCGCAGCAGAGCGUGCAGACCCUGAGCCUGUGGCUCAUCCACCACCGCAAGCACUCGGCGCUCAUCGUUAGCGUGUGGGAGCGGGAGCUGCGCAAAGCAAAACCGAAUAGGAAGCUGACAUUCCUGUACUUGGCCAAUGAUGUCAUACAGAACAGCAAAAGGAAAGGACCAGAAUUUACAAAAGACUUUGCUCCAGUAAUAGUGGAGGCUUUUAAGCAUGUUUCAAGUGAGUCUGAUGAGAGUUGUAAGAAACACCUUGGCCGAGUGCUGUCUAUCUGGGAAGAAAGGUCUGUUUAUGAAAAUGAUGUAUUAGAACAACUUAGGCAAGCUUUGUAUGGAGACAGAAAGGUGAGGAAGCGCACAUAUGAACAGAUCAAAGUUGAUGAAAAUAACUGUUCACCUCGAAGUUCUCCCACUGAUCCUCCUCAGACCACAGAUCUCAUUAGAGCAUUACAAGAACUAGAAAAUGCUGCCUCUGGGGAUGCAGCAGUUCACCAGAGAAUAGCUUCCUUGCCUAUAGAGGUCCAGGAUGUGUCCCUGUUAGACAGAAUAACAGAUAAGGAAUCUGGAGAGCAACUUUCCAAAAUGGUAGAUGAUGCAUGUAUGUUGCUGGCGGAUUACAAUGGCAGGUUGGCAGCUGAAAUAGAUGAUAGAAAACAGCUAACUCGAAUGUUAUCAGACUUUCUCCGAUGUCAAAAAGAGUUCCUUGCAGAGAAAGAACAUAAGCUGGAAGUGCGUAAUAUUUUGUUUUAGUCUCUUCUUCACUAAAGCUUGUUCUUGCAAAUGUUUUUAGUUAGCCUGAAAAACUUUUCUCUCCAGAGACAGAUAUUUUUUUGCCACUGUUAUGUCUUUGCUUCCAGCACAUUAGUAACCCAUUGUUUGAUUCUAGUGUUCUAAACCUACUAAACCAGCUCUUUCUGCUUUUCAGUCUUGGUUAUACCUACAAACUUAGUUUUAGUAGUGCAGAUAGAAAGUCUUAUCCCUGGUGCUAUGAACUUAAUUCUUCAUAGUGUCAUUUUCUUUCCAUGCUCUUUUCAUUCAUUGUUGUAAGUCUUAGUUAUGUAUUUGCUAAAGGAUAAGAAUUUAAUUCCAGCUUUCAGCACAAGUUUUUAACCUGCCUCAAGCAUCCAUUAAACAGAGGGAAAUGUACCUAGCGCUUCUACAGCCUCUAACACAGCUGGUUAUCAGCACUAGCACCAGCAUGACUAGACAGAUCAUAAUAAAAGAGUGAUGCAGGAUGAGCAGCUCAUUAUUAGCAAAUGAUCCCUUAAGUUACUCUUUUCUUUGCUAUUACCAAUCACCUGUUUUUCUUUCCUACCAUGUACUACUGUAAAGCCUUCUGUGGAAAAUGCCACAUAUUUAGAAUAUGUCCAUAAUUUCAUGUCAGUGGCUUCCCAGUGCUAACCUUGGCUAUUACAAUAAUAGAAUUGAAGCUGCAUCAUUCUGCAAAGGGAGAUGCCUGAACAGUCAUGAUGCCCUGUAACUGCAGCAUAUGCAUAUAUGGUCCAAGCAUUAAUUAAUCUUCAGGUUUCAUUGUAUAUACCUGUGAAAAACAUUUUCUUUCCCUAGUGGUUUCUUUACCUUUAGCUUCAUAACUUGGAUUCAGAUUUUGUUUUUUUUUUUUUUCUGGAAAAUGCUGUUCGUAAUGUAUUUGAAGUCAUCAUUCAGAUCAGUUGUGUCAUUCCUAGCCUACUCUUAUUUCCUGACUUACUUCCUUUCCUCUAUGCCUCACAGAAAAUCAAUUGAUGAAGGUUCUUCCUUUCAACCUUACUGUGUUUAUCCUGUGGGAAGAAUAUCAACCAGCUUCAUGUAAGAUAGAUGGCAUGCACAGUAGUGCUGAUUUCAGUAGCAACCGAUCCAACUGCAUAAUGGAACCUGGAAGAUUAAAGAACAGGAAGCCUUAAGCUUUUCAUCACAUGCCCUACCUUCCCCCUGCCUGUGUAAUGGGUUUGAAGGACAAGUUCCUGUAAUUUCAUUGAAGGACUGGUUGUCUAGAGGCACUGACUUGUUUAUGUAGCUCAUUACCAGCAGUUACAUCCUGUGUAGGUAUGGUAGACUGCCAGGAUAGUGAGUUGCUCAAAAGGCAGUGACCUGGUCCUUCAGACAGAUUUACCCUUCUGUAAAACAAGAGAGCUCAGUUGAAAAGAAAUUAGAAAUAGUAGCACAGCUGUGAACAGAUUCCACCCUUGUUGGUUGUUUUCAACAAAUACAAACCAGUGUAAUUUCCCAAUAUUUCUAGAUCAGAGAAUUCAUAAUUCUGAGAGAAAGCAAUUGCAUAUUACUGGGCUGUUAUGGUCCUUCACAUGGUUUCUUGGCUGAAUUAUUUAGACUGCUAAAGAAUUUAAUUCUAAUAUAGCAGAGUUUCAUUUUUGGACUAAUUUGAGGUAUUUCUUUAAAAAGUAGGAGACAGUCUCAGUGUCUGUAGCAGCUUGUUUUAAACUGGUGAAGUUCUAGGGUGUUGAAUUACACUGUAAGAAUGUUUUUAGGCUGAUUAGUGUGGCAUAAAUAUGAUUUCCUAAUACAGAACUACGAGUCAGGAUGGUGUUAACCCAGUUACUAAUAAAGACCUUUGAGCCAAGAGAUUAAAAAAAACAAGAACCUUAAAAUGGAGUUUCUAAACUAGUGAUGAGUAAAGUGACUUCAUGCUCACUAUCAGUAGUGCUUUUUAGUUUGGGAAGUAGAGGCUGAUAAACAUUCUGAAGUUUUGAAAUGUAAGAUUAGGAUGUCUUAGUGAUAUUGUGUGUAGGGCUUGCUGACUUAGCAGAUGUAGGAUUUAUUUUGGUGAUUAAGAAAUGGAGAUGAAGCAAGGAGUCCCUGUUCUUACAGAUUUGGGAAAUUCCAUGGCUCAAAUUGAACCUUGCUUCUUGGCUUCUCAUUUGAAAUAGAACUGGGAGAGGGCCUUUCGUGUAAUUCUUUGAGCAUGUAUUUCCCUGAACUGUCUGUCCCUAGGAUUUGCUGUUCAAGUUUGAUUUUUGGUGAAAUUAAUUUGUUCAAACAAGCUUGUUUCUUGUGUUAGACUUCUGGCUAUUGAUACUUCCCCAAGUAAAACAUGAUCCCUGGGUUGUAAUAGAAAGUCUUUAUUUCUUCCUGAAUUACUAUCACCAAUCUGUGAGUAUAAUGCUGAGAUCCUACCUUACUGAUUCCUUACCAUACCAAACAGGUAUAGUGAGGAACAAGUGGAUGUAUUCUUAGUUGAAUCUAGAAAUGUUACCUGCUGUUAACCUUGUUUAACUAUUUGAAUUGGAAUUCCCAAGGAAUUGUCAGUAGCUUUCAGCAUUAGAUAGAAGCUUUAGACCUAAAUUUGCAGAUCUUUUAUCUUCUAAAGAUAAUUUACAGCUUCUGUUGCAGGUGGUGGACAUGGACCUAUCUUCUAAUGAUGUCACCAUCCAUUAGUAAACACAUCCUGCUAAAAAUAAAUCUAAGAAUCAAAA